AUUGAACGCUGGCGGCAUGCCUUACACAUGCAAGUCGAACGGCAGCAUGAUCUAUCUUGCUGGAUUGAUGGCGAGUGGCGAACGGGUGAGUUAUACAUCGGAACGUUCCCUGUAGUGGGGGAUAACUAGCCGGAAGAUUAACUAAUACCGCAUACGACCUGAGGGUGAAAGUGGGGGACCGCAAGGCCUCACGCUAUAGGAUCGGUCGAUGUCUGAUUAGCUAGUUGGUGAGGUAAAGGCACACCAAGGCGACGAUCAGUAGCUGGUCUGAGAGGAUGAUCAGCCACACUGGAACUGAGACACGGUCCAGACUCCUACGGGAGGCAGCAGUGGGGAAUUUUGGACAAUGGGCGAAAGCCUGAUCCAGCAAUGCCGCGUGUGUGAAGAAGGCCUUCGGGUUGUAAAGCACUUUUGUCCGGAAAGAAAUGGAUCUAGUUAAUACCUGGGGUCGAUGACGGUACCGGAAGAAUAAGGACCGGCUAACUACGUG
rnacentral:rRNA from 1 species